rnacentral:tRNA from 1 species
AGUUAUUCACUUAUAUAAAGUAUUAUGCCUUGAAAACAUAUAAAAGAGGUUAAAUUCCUCUAAUAACUU